AAGGUAGUGAGUUAUCUCACUUGAUUGUUCACAGUCAGUUACAGAUUGAACUCCUUGCUCUACUCUUUCCCCCCUUUUCACUACUGCCCU
rnacentral:sRNA from 1 species